ACGAGAUGCCCCUUGUGUGCGACGUGAUUGAAGCGUGAAGAACUCCAAUUCUGUUGCAACACAGGGGCAUUCUCAUGUUCCGACGCGCUGAAUCACCUCACAGCACCCUGCCCAUCGGUGGAUCGAG
rnacentral:sRNA from 1 species